rnacentral:rRNA from 1 species
UACGUAGGGUGCAAGCGUUUGUCCGGAAUUAUUGGGCGUAAAGAGCUCGUAGGCGGUCUGUCACGUCGGCUGUGAAAACCUGGGGCUCAACUCCGGGCCUGCAGCCGAUACGGGCAGACUAGAGUUCGGCAGGGGAGACUGGAAUUCCUGGUGUAGCGGUGAAAUGCGCAGAUAUCGGGAGGAACACCGGUGGCGAAGGCGGUUCUCUGGGCCUGUACUGA